rnacentral:rRNA from 1 species
UACGAAGGGGGCUAGCGUUGUUCGGAUUUACUGGGCGUAAAGUGCACGUAGGCGGAUCGAUCAGUCAGGGGUGAAAUCCCAGAGCUCAACUCUGGAACUGCCUUUGAUACUGUCGAUCUGGAGUAUGGAAGAGGUGAGUGGAAUUCCGAGUGUAGAGGUGAAAUUCGUAGAUAUUCGGAGGAACACCAGUGGCGAAGGCGGCUCACUGGUCCAUUACUGACGCUGAGGUGCGAAAGCGUGGGGAGCAAACAGG